rnacentral:rRNA from 1 species
CCUACGGGAGGCAGCAGUGAGGAAUAUUGGUCAAUGGGCGCGAGCCUGAACCAGCCAAGUAGCGUGAAGGAUGACUGCCCUACGGGUUGUAAACUUCUUUUAUAAAGGAAUAAAGUGAGGCACGUGUGCCUUAUUGUAUGUACUUUAUGAAUAAGGAUCGGCGAACUCCGUGCCAGCAGCCGCGGUAAUACGGAGGGUCCGAGCGUUAUCUGGAGUUAUUGGGUUUAAAGGGAGCGUAGAUGGGUUGUUAAGUCAGUUGUGAAAGUUUGCGGCUCAACCGUAAAAUUGCAAUUGAUACUGGCAGUCUUGAGUACAGUUGAGGUAGGCGGAAUUCGUGGUGUAGCGGUGAAAUGCUUAGAGAUCACGAAGAACUCCGAUUGCGAAGGCAGCUUACUAAACUGCCACUGACAUUGAUGCUCGAAAGUGUGGGUAUCAAACAGGAUUAGAUACCCCGGUAGUC